rnacentral:ncRNA from 1 species
AACGUUCGGUUAAGGUGCCUAACGCGACGCUCAUCAGAUACCACAAAAGGUGUUGGUUGGUCUAGACGGCAGGACGGUGGCCAUGGAAGUCGGAACCCGCUAAGGAGUGUGUAACAACUCACCUGCCGAAUCAACCAGCCCUGAAAAUGGAUGGCGCUGGAGCGUCGGACCUAUACCGGACCGUCACUGCAAGCUGAGUCGGUAAUGUGUGGUGUGAGGUCAAGUCACACGACUCAGGCACGGAAUUGUCAUGACG